rnacentral:lncRNA from 1 species
AUCAUCUGUUGGUGUACCAACCCUUGGACCUCUUUCUCCUCCUAGAGUCCCGCAGAGUCCCACUAAGGAACGCCUUGAUCCUCAAAAUUCAUCAUGAUGUAAUGAUGGAGCUGGAUCAUCUGGUGGUGUAUCAGCCCCUGGACCUCUUUGUCCUCCUAGGAAAAAUCCUACCCUGGUACCCCUCAAUCGUCAGGAAGAUUCAUCAAGAGAACGGAGGUACACGAGAUGGGAGUCUGGGGAAACGGCUCAACUAAAAGAGUUCUUCAAAGAAUACUUCACAUCAACUCAAACAAAACUUCCAUCAAGAGCAGAAAUUAGAAAAUUCAAAAUGAGAUUUCCAGCCUUCAGACAUGAUGUAAGGACCAUAGCAACCAAGGUCAUGAACGAGGUGCGGAAGACCGAACGACUGACAGAGGAAAGAGUCAAACGAAUUGGGAUAAGAUAAUGAGGUGAUGGGCUAACAGGUUAAUCGGGACAUUUAUGGUAACAGUAACACGCAUCUUUUAGGAUAGAUUCCGGAUUGUGCUUAGAAUAAAAUAAACUUACAGUCUUCAUAAAUCCCUUUUGAGUGUUUUCAACAAUCCAAUUAGUGAAGUCUUUCUAUAUGAGCUCACCUGAGCCGAAGGCUUAUAACUGCACAGAUGCUCGUCCCUGCAAAAACUGUCGCCUCAUGGGCAACAGAGCAUGCGGAUAGUGAUUAAUCACCUAAAUAUUAGCUGUGGGGUCAUGCUUGUUAUCAAUUAUUUUAUGGUACUUUGAUGAAUUGUGUUAGGGUCCCUUACAAUCAAGUGGGUGGAGCAUUGGAGGAGUACCCUCUCAUGAUCGAGGAUUUUAAAUAAAAUAAUGCAUGCAAACAUAUUUUUAAAAUGUGAUUCAGGCAAUUGCAGGGGCAGAGGUAGUUGAUGUCAGAUUUGCUGGCAGGAUUAAGAGUACAUAGGGCCCACAGGGCAACAGUUUGUUCAGGGGUGACCAUUUGGUAGGCAAGUCAGAGGAUCUCUCAAUCAAAUUUAUUGAUAAAAUACUACUAGAGGCAUAGGAUUGAAAGUUGCUCAAUUGAAGCAUGUGGUAAUUACUAAUUUGCAAUUACAUAUGACAAUUGCAUGACAUCAGGUGAGCACCAGGCCCCCUGGGGCUCUUAUCAUUUAUCCCUAACUGCCCUCCUCCAUAGUUUUGGCGAUUGCAUCGCGACCGCUACCAAUUUCAGAUUCUCGCUUUAUGACUUUUUCCCUUGCAGUCUUGUCUUGCACACAUUUUGCAGGGACUGAUUUUUAAAAUUUACAGGGGAGCUAUAAAUAGCUCUCCUAGAGGCUCUCAAGGAGAAUUUUUAGGGGAGCUAAAUUUGUUCUUCACGUAGAAAGAUUGGGGUUA